rnacentral:SRP_RNA from 1 species
UAGUAGGGAGGAUUGGGGUGCCAGCCGUGCCCCGUUCUGAAACCGGCUAUAUGCAGAGAUCAGUAACUGCUGGGUAAAUCUCUGGAUAGGCAGUACCCGCUUGGCGUGCGGAAAUGAAAUCACGCCGAGGCGGGUGGUUGCAGGCCCGGGACCAUCCGAAGGGAUGGCUCUGAGGGCCGGACCAUCGAAAGGGACCAGGUCCGGGAGGGAGCAGUCCUAAGUUGGAGCAUCCACGCUUCCUCGUCAACGUGGCGGAUCUUGUGCGCCUUGAAAAGGGGCUGUCGGUCCAGACCGGGUCCGGCAGGGCUACUA